rnacentral:rRNA from 1 species
CAGUAGCCGCGGUAAUACGUAGGUCCCGAGCGUUGUCCGGAUUUAUUGGGCGUAAAGCGAGCGCAGGCGGUUUGAUAAGUCUGAAGUUAAAGGCUGUGGCUCAACCAUAGUUCGCUUUGGAGACUGUCAAACUUGAGUGCAGAAGGGGAGAGUGGAAUUCCAUGUGUAGCGGUGAAAUGCGUAGAUAUAUGGAGGAACACCGGUGGCGAAAGCGGCUCUCUGGUCUGUAACUGACGCUGAGGCUCGAAAGCGCGGGGAGCGAACAGGAUUAGAUACCCCCGUAGUCCCUGUCUCUUAUACC